UGGGGAAUUUUGGACAAUGGGCGAAAGCCUGAUCCAGCAAUGCCGCGUGUGUGAAGAAGGCCUUCGGGUUGUAAAGCACCUUUGUCCGGAAAGAAAUCCUCUGGGUUAAUACCUCGGGGGAGUGACGGGUACCGGAAGAAUAAGCACCGGCUAACUACGUGCCAGCAGCCGCGGUAAUACGUAGGGUGCAAGCGUUAAUCGGAAUUACUGGGCGUAAAGCGUGCGCAGGCGGUUUUGUAAGACGGAUGUGAAAUCCCGGCGUAUACCUGGGAACUGCAUUCGUGACUGCAAGGCUAGAGUAUGGCAGAGGGGUGAGAAUAUCCACGUGUAGCAGUGAAAUGCGUAGAGAUGUGGAGGAAUACCGAUGGCGAAGGCAGCCCCGCAGCACUGACGCUCAUGCACGAAAGCGUGGGGAGCAAACAGGAUUAGAUACCCUGGUAGUCCACGCCCUAAACGAUGUCAACUAGUUGUUGGGGAUUCAUUUCCUUAGUAACGUAGCUAACGCGUGAAGUUGACCGCCUGGGGAGUACGGUCGCAAGAUUAAAACUCAAAUGAAUUGACGGGGUCAUAGCUGUUUCCU
rnacentral:rRNA from 1 species